GGAGUAGAUUAGAUGAUCGCUGGUCCGGUCCUCCGGGCUGGAGGAAAGUCCGAGCUCCGCAGGGCAGGAUGGUCGCUAACGGCGACUGGGGGUGACCCUAAGGAAAGUGCCACAGAAAAUAUACCGCCCGGUGUAACCCACCGGGUAAGGGUGAAAAGGUGAGGUAAGAGCUCACCAGUUCUCCGGGUGACCGGGGAAGCUUGGUAAACCCCAUCCGGAGCAAGACCAAAUAGGAGAACGUUUGAGGGUGGCCCGCUCGAAGUUCUCGGGUAGUGUCGCUUGAGGCAGCAGGCAACUGCUGUCCCAGAUUAAUGAUCAUUGCCCCCUUCAGGGUGACCGGGAGGGGGAACAGAACUCGGCUUAUGAUCUGCUCCGACA
rnacentral:RNase_P_RNA from 1 species